AUUGAAGCAUCCAAAUAUUGUUCAAUUCAAGCAGGUUCUGCUAACACAAACACAUUUAGCUAUUGUCAUGGAGUAUGCAGCUGGUGGUGAACUUUUCGAGAGAAUCUGCAGUGCAGGCCGAUUCAGUGAAGACGAGGCAAGAUUUUUCUUCCAACAGCUAAUAUCGGGAGUCGGUUACUGCCAUUCCAUGG